rnacentral:lncRNA from 10 species
GGCCUUAGGUAGUUCUUUAUAGCAAUUCAAGAAUGGACUAAUACAAUAGCCUUUCCAGUAGAAUCUGCUAUAGAGCCUAUCAUGAAGGGUAAAUUUCUAAUCUUUGCUUCAUUUACUCUAAACCAUGGGGAAAAGAGACCUAACAAAUGAUGCCCAUCUAGAAAAACAAAGACCUCCUGGCAAUGUCCUCUUUAACCCAUGGUGUAGGUUAGGAAGAGUGGAUCAAUGUUAUGUUUCUGACUGCUGAUGAGGCAACAAAUGUACCAUUAAAAUUUCUCUCUACUUUGGGCCUUCAUCUUCCAUCUAUCGAGGCAUAAGAUUGUGCAUGUAUAAAGCUGGUUGCAAAAUCCUUCACAAAUAAAAGUAUACCCCAUGAGUGCAUACAAUAGACCACCUUUUCACUUUUGUUGUUCAUAGAUGCAAAGCAAAGGGAAAAAUUGACAGAUAAGAGCCUCAUGAUAGCAGAGAAGUCUUGAUUCAUGAUCUUGGGGAAAAGCUGUCCAAGUCAAGGAUGCUGUCUUCUUCUGGGGAGAAACUUCCCUGGACGUAUAACAUUGGAAAGAAGCAAUUUACUCAUCUAGACUUGGAGAGUCUGGCUCAACAUCAAAUUAAAAUCAUGCUGGUGUUCACGUGAGGGUGCUUUUGUGCAAAGCUGGAGAAGCACGGGAUGUGAAGGGCCUUGCUGGAGGCAGAGCUCUGCAGAUGAACCAGAAGACCGCACCCGAACCCCCGUUCAGCUGCGAGGCAUAAACGCCUUCCCCUGGUUAGGAGCUGAUGCCUCACUGUGAGCUUGGAUGGCAAGUUCAUAGAGGCCAUCCACACGAAUGGGUUUAAUGGGAUUUCUUUAUCAAUUGUUUAAAGAGAGUCUUUAGCGUCCCUCAAUACCCUUUCCAGGAGGAUACACAGAAUAAAUUCCUGCUUGACUUUUAGAUCCCAGAUAAAACUACUCCCGCAGAAGAAUUAGAAUUUCUUUGUCAUAUUGGACAAUAAAAAUUAUGUAACUUACU